rnacentral:tRNA from 1 species
GGGCUGGUAGUUCAGUGGCAUGAAUGCCCGCCUCACGCGCGGGAGGUCGUGGGAUCAAGACCCACCCGGCCCA